rnacentral:rRNA from 1 species
UGCCUAACACAUGCAAGUCGAACGGCAGCAUGGUCCAGCUUGCUGGACUGAUGGCGAGUGGCGAACGGGUGAGUAAUGCGUAGGAAUAUGCCUUAGAGAGGGGGAUAACCCGGGGAAACUCGGGCUAAUACCGCAUAUGCUCUUUGGAGUAAAGCUGGGGACCUUAUGGCCUGGCGCUUUAAGAUUAGCCUACGUCCGAUUAGCUAGUUGGUGAGGUAAGGGCUUACCAAGGCUAUGAUCGGUAGCUGGUCUGAGAGGAUGGACAGCCACACUGGGACUGAGACACGGCCCAGACUCCUACGGGAGGCAGCAGUGGGGAAUAUUGGACAAUGGGGGGAACCCUGAUCCAGCAAUGCCGCGUGUGUGAAGAAGGCCUGAGGGUUGUAAAGCACUAUCGGUGGGGAGGAAGUUCAGUUGGUUAAGAGCUGACUGGAUUGACGUUACCCACAGAAGAAGCACCGGCUAACUCCGUGCCAGCAGCCGCGGUAAUACGGAGGGUGCGAGCGUUAAUCGGAAUUACUGGG